AAUCUGGGGACAACGCUGCGGGCAUCGAGGCGGUGGCGCUUGAUUUCCUUUAAAGUACCUACCACGCCACCCGCUACCUGUAAUAAUCCAUCUGAAGAGGUCGCCGGGCAGCGCCUCGGCAGACAGACUGACCUGCGGGGAGGUGCGGUUUCCAGUGGCGCGGGACAGCCGGCUCCGAGAAGGAACUGGGACCUUUGCCUAGGGCAAGACGUCAACAGGAACCCGCAGGCCCGGCCUGGACACCUGCUGCCCUCACUGGAAGCUUUAACUCCCACUCGAGUCUCUUGGCGUCGUCAGUGCCAGGAGCGCUUGGAUUGGGAUGGGGACGGAGAAGGGUGCCUCGCUCGCCGAGCCCCGCUGCCCUUGGGGACCUGGCAAAGUCGAGGUUUCCUCACAGCGUUGAGAUUGAGACUGGGGGUCGGCAGCACUGAGAAGUGAAGGAAUAUUUGGGAGGAUCAGAAGCUUGGUCCUGAUUUUGCCAUCAACAGGAACUUGAUGACUUCAAGGGAGUCCCCAAACCCUGGGUUUCUGUUUUCUCAACUCUAACAUGAGGGGCUAGAUGCAUCUGGUUUAGUUAGUCUCCAUGAUGGUUUAGUUCGUCUCCAUGAUCCUGUGAAUUUCAGAUGUUGAAAAUCUUCGGAAAAGCCCUGAAAGAUGAACAGUGGUCUCAAAUAGUCAAGACCCCCUGCUGGGAGGAGCUUCUAUCCUGCUCUGUGGAAGAAAUGGGCAUGCCAGAUGCCUGGAAGAUCAGAGGCUCACAUUCCAGGGUGGACCUCAAUAACAAUCAGAUAACAGUUGAGACAGCUGGUGAAAGAGAUGAGGAAGAACACUAAGCGAUUUCCCGGAAGACAGCAGAAAGAACAACCAGUACACAGGCUGAGGAUGUAAACAAACCCGCCAUGUUGUGGAAACCAGGAGGAGGCUCAUGUGCCCAAAAUGCAGUCAGUAGGAGAUAAGGUCAGAGAAGUAAGAAGGUGUCAACUCAAUAGGGCCUGGCAGCCCAUUGUAAUGACUGGGGCUUUCACACUGAGUGAAAGAUGGUAAGCAUCCAAGGGAGAAACAGGAGAGCAAUUAAAAGAGUGGCAAAAAUCUAGACUUGGAGAGUAAUUACCACCGAUUAUAAGAAGUGGUCAGGUUCCAGAUGUCUUCAAAGGCAGAGCCAACAGGAUUUGCCGGUGGAUUGCACGUGUAAUUGUGAAAGAAAUGAUGAUGUCAAACAUGACUCCAAAGUUUUUGGCCUGAGAAGCUGGAAGUUGCCAUUCUAAGACAGAAAAGACUGUAGAUCAAGCAGGUUCUGGAGGGGAUUUCAAUUCUACUCAUUUUAAGGUGAGAUGUCUACUUAAUAUCCAAGUGGAAAAAUAAGGUAGGCAACUGGAUAUACAGGGCUGGAAUUCAAAGAAGUCCAAACUGGUAAUAUACAUUUUGAGUCCUCAGCAUAAAGAUGGAAUUUAGAGACAUGUAACUGAAUGAGACCACCAAGGAAUCGGUGUAGGAAGAGAAGAGGUUGAAGAAUGGAAUCCUGAGGCAUUCCAGUGUCAAAAGAAGAAAUUGAGAAAAGCAGAUUGAGAAAUGUGGCCUCCUGGAAGCUGGAUGAAGAGAGUCUUCCUAGAAAGAGUGAAUGAUUGUUAUGUCAGCAUGCCCAGAAGUGGGGUAGGAUGAGGACUGGGAAGAGAGAAAGUCCUGAUUUGUAGAGUUUGCCAAUUUCCAUGGCGAAAAUACUCCCACCAGAGUUGAUUUCAAGCUGUUAAUGUGAUGUCAUUGAAUGCAGAGUUUAGAAGAGAUGCACACAAUUGGCUCUCAGGAGAUAUUGCAAACUGAUCUCAGCAGACAUUGCAAGCUGAUCUCAGCACACCCCUGACAGCUAAUGAUAUCCAUUGCCUCAGCAGGCUUUGGCAUCCAAGAGGGAACUAACUGCCCAAGCAAGUCUGAACGUGGCAUGGCUGAAUCUCUGUCAUCUGGACAGGGCCAAGCAACAUUUAUCUUCAAUAUGGUAGGCUGGCAACUUUCUCAGAGGGCAGCCCAAGCUGGGCUGGGCAAGAGGGGCUCAGAAAAGGAUGUCAUG
rnacentral:lncRNA from 1 species